UACGGGAGGCAGCAGUGGGGAAUAUUGCACAAUGGGCGAAAGCCUGAUGCAGCUAUGCCGCGUGUAUGAAGAAGGCCUUAGGGUUGUAAAGUACUUUCAUCGGGGAGGAAAAACAAAACUAAUAAUUUUAUUUCUUGACGUUACCCGAAAAAGAAGCACCGGCUAACUCCGUGCCAGCAGCCGCGGUAAUACGGAGGGUGCUAGCGUUAAUCAGAAUUACUGGGCGUAAAGAGCACGUAGGUGGUUUUUUUAAGUCAGAUGUGAAAUCCCUGGGCUUAACCUAGGAACUGCAUUUUGAAACUGAAAUACUAGAGUAUCGUAGAGGGAGGUAGAAUUCUAGGUGUAGCGGUGAAAUGCGUAGAUAUCUGGAGGAAUACCUGUGGCGAAAGCGGCCUCCUAAACCGAAUACUGACACUGAGGUGCGAAAGCGUGGGGAGCAAACAGGGAUUAGAUACC
rnacentral:rRNA from 1 species